CCUACGGGUGGCAGCAGUAGGGAAUCUUUCACAAUGGGCGAAAGCCUGAAGGAGCAACGCCGCGUGCAGGAAGAAGGCUUUCGGGUUGUAAACUUCCUUUAAGAGGGAAGAGCAGAAGACGGUACCUGUUGAAUAAGCCACGGCUAACUACGUGCCAGCAGCCGCGGUAAUACGUAGGGGGCAAGCGUUGUCCGGAUUUACUGGGUGUAAAGGGCGUGUAGCCGGGCUGACAAGUCAGAUGUGAAAUCCCGUGGCUCAACCACGGAACUGCAUUUGAAACUGUCGGUCUUGAGUGUCGGAGAGGCAGGCGGAAUUCCUGGUGUAGCGGUGAAAUGCGUAGAUAUUAGGAGGAACACCAGUGGCGAAGGCGGCCUGCUGGACGACAACUGACGGUGAGGCGCGAAAGCGUGGGGAGCAAACAGGAUUAGAUACCCUUGUAGUC
rnacentral:rRNA from 1 species